rfam:Herminiimonas arsenicoxydans chromosome, complete sequence.
GGGGGCGACCUGGUUUCGACAGGGGUUGCAAAGCAGCGCAGGGCAUACCGAGGACUGGUUACCUCGUAAAUACAUCCAGAAAAGUAAUAACUGCAAACGAUAACUCGUACGCACUAGCCGCUUAAUAACCGGUUAGCUUCACACCGUUUCUUCCUUGGGGCGGGCUGGUCAAACAGCAGUGAAGUCAUAUACAAGGAAUCGCGUCAUGCCGGGUCACUUGGCAAGGCGUUAAAUAAUAGGUGACUCGCCUGUCCGCAGCGUGCGCGUCCGCGUCGUACAGGUUAAAUCAAAUGGCAGCGCUAAGUAUGUAGAACUGUCUGUAGAGUGCUUCUGGACGCGGGUUCGAUUCCCGCCGCCUCCACCA